CGCUCUUGUCGUACAGGACACUAUUUGAGAGAUGCGUUCGGAAGCAGCCGCUUGUAAUUCAAUCAUUUGACCAUCUGCAUCCGCGGAAGUUUCCGUUUACUGUUUCGGCAUUCCUUUGCGGCGGCAUUCCUUUGCAAAGGAAGCG
rnacentral:lncRNA from 1 species